AGCAGUGCCGGCUACGUCGAUUAGUUAAAUAGUGAAAAGAGAGAUUACAAACAAAAUUUAGGAAAUUAUUAGUGUCUAAUUGUUGGGCAUUCAAUACCGCAGAUUUUAGUAAUCAUAUAGAAGUUUUAGAUUUUUUAAUGCAGAGGAGUUAGGUGUAUGAACAAAUGUCGAACCCCCAGUUUUGCAAAAUAGCGGUAUGUUAAAUGACAAGCUUUGCCAAUAACACAAUUAGCCGCGAAUGCGCCAUAGACUUAUUUAAAAUUUCAAACUAAGAAAAAUUUGACUUAAGUUCCUUUUAUAUGUCUUCUUGUCUCUCCAAGCCAAUUAUUUCGCGUGUAUCAGGUGGCCAAUAUUUACAUGUAUGAGAUAAAAAUUAACUUUGAAGUUAAUUAACUGCUAUCAGAGUGAAAAUCAGUUAGUGUUAGACAUUAAUAAAGACCGACUGUCAGCUCAGCUCUGGUCCAUUUUGCUAAGUAUAAUAAUUUUGUAAAUAAAACAGUUAUUUGUGUAGGAGUUUUUCUGAGAUACACAAAACCAUAGAACUGUGAUAAUUACUUAGGUCCGUUGCUUGAAGAAUUAUAUAAAUGUGAAAAUUAGGGCAAUUGUAUGCGAUGCUACUGCCAGGGCUUUUAUUAGUGGAACACCAGGUCAUACUUCCCGACAUGGUUGGUCAAAAAUCUCAGAGCGCAGCUGUGCAGCUUCACAAAUGUUUCCUUUGACAAUCCUCUUCAACAGCCGUUAGUGUGAACAAGUUGUUGCGAAGUCCAGAGACAAAAUGCGGAAACGUGUUUUUUGUGUGAAUAAAAUGUGAAAUGGCUUACCAUAA